rnacentral:rRNA from 1 species
AUUGAACGCUGGCGGCAUGCUUUACACAUGCAAGUCGAACGGCAGCGCGGGCUUCGGCCUGGCGGCGAGUGGCGAACGGGUGAGUAAUGCAUCGGAACGUGCCCAGUAGUGGGGGGUAGCCCGGCGAAAGCCGGAUUAAUACCGCAUACGACCUGAGGGUGAAAGCGGGGGACCGAAAGGCCUCGCGCUAUUGGAGCGGCCGAUGUCGGAUUAGCUAGUUGGUGGGGUAAAGGCUUACCAAGGCGACGAUCCGUAGCUGGUCUGAGAGGACGACCAGCCACACUGGGACUGAGACACGGCCCAGACUCCUACGGGAGGCAGCAGUGGGGAAUUUUGGACAAUGGGGGCAACCCUGAUCCAGCCAUGCCGCGUGCGGGAAGAAGGCCUUCGGGUUGUAAACCGCUUUUGUUCGGGAAGAAAUCCUCUGGGCCAAUACCCCGGGGGGAUGACGGUACCGGAAGAAUAAGCACCGGCUAACUACGUG